rnacentral:lncRNA from 1 species
GGCUGAUGGAGCCUGUACCUCAGCGUUUGCUGCCCCAAGGCCUCUCCCAGGGAUAACAGGAUGGUAACAGGCCAGAGGCCUGGAUGCCUGGACUCACCCAGCCAGGAGGCCGGCCACACAGCAUGUGGUUAGGAGAGCUGAUUCGCUUAGAAACAAUGAACAGGACAGGGAACAGGAGUGAGUAGUCUCCUGGAGAGAAGAGGCUGAUUUUUUUUCCCUGAUCUUCCCAAGUGGAUAAGAGGGAUGUGUAUUCUGAAUCAGGAUGUAUUUUGGAGGCGGGGAAGGGAGUGAGGGGAGAAGAGAAGGAUAUUGCUAUUUAUUGCACUGUGUAUGGGCAUGCUUGUUGAGAGUUAAAAAAAUUAAUAAUCCACUUCUGCUUUGCACCUAAUUAAAAUGUUCUCCAGUCUUUAAUUUUUGUCGUUUUCCUAAUCUAGUUUAUUUUCUGACUGUGUCUAUUCUUCCGCUUG